AGUGGCAGACGGGUGAGUAAUGUAUAGGAAUCUACCUAGUAGUACGGAAUAAUUGUUGGAAACGGCAACUAAUACCGUAUACGCCCUACGGGGGAAAAAUUUAUUGCUAUUAGAUGAGCCUAUAUUAGAUUAGUUAGUUGGUGAGGUAAAGGCUUACCAAGACAAUGAUCUAUAGCUGAUCUGAGAGGAUGAUCAGCCACACUGGAACUGAGAUACGGUCCAGACUCCUACGGGAGGCAGCAGUGGGGAAUAUUGGACAAUGGGCGAAAGCCUGAUCCAGCCAUGCCGCAUGAGUGAAGAAGGCCUUCGGGUUGUAAAGCUCUUUUAGUGAGGAAGAUAAUGACGGUACUCACAGAAGAAGUCCUGGCUAACUCCGUGCCAGCAGCCGCGGUAAUACGGAGAGGGCUAGCGUUAUUCGGAAUCAUUGGGCGUAAAGGGCGCGUAGGCGGGUUAGUAAGUUAAAAGUGAAAUCCCAAGGCUCAACCUUGGAACUGCUUUUAAAACUGCUAGUCUAGAGAUUGAAAGAGGAUAGAGGAAUUCCUAGUGUAGAGAUGAAAUUCGUAAAUAUUAGGAGGAACACCAGUGGCGAAGGCGUCUAUCUGGUUCAAAUCUGACGCUGAGGCGCGAAGGCGUGGGGAGCAAACAGGAUUAGAUACCCUGGUAGUCCACGCUGUAAACGAUGAAUGUUAAAUAUGGGAAGUUUACUUUCUGUAUUAUAGCUAACGCGUUAAACAUUCCGCCUGGGGACUACNGUCGCAAGAUUAAAACUCAAAGGAAUUGAC
rnacentral:rRNA from 2 species